rnacentral:rRNA from 1 species
CCGUGUACGUACAAGCAGUGGGAGCUCGCUUAGGCGUGUGACUGCGUACCUUUUGUAUAAUGGGUCAGCGACUUAUAUUCUGUAGCAAGGUUAACCGAAUAGGGGAGCCGAAGGGAAACCGAGUCUUAACUGGGCGUUAAGUUGCAGGGUAUAGACCCGAAACCCGGUGAUCUAGCCAUGGGCAGGUUGAAGGUUGGGUAACACUAACUGGAGGACCGAACCGACUAAUGUUGAAAAAUUAGCGGAUGACUUGUGGCUGGGGGUGAAAGGCCAAUCAAACCGGGAGAUAGCUGGUUCUCCCCGAAAGCUAUUUAGGUAGCGCCUCGUGAAUUCAUCUCCGGGGGUAGAGCACUGUUUCGGCAAGGGGGUCAUCCCGACUUACCAACCCGAUGCAAACUGCGAAUACCGGAGAAUGUUAUCACGGGAGACACACGGCGGGUGCUAACGUCCGUCGUGAAGAGGGAAACAACCCAGACCGCCAGCUAAGGUCCCAAAGUCAUGGUUAAGUGGGAAACGAUGUGGGAAGGCCCAGACAGCCAGGAUGUUGGCUUAGAAGCAGCCAUCAUUUAAAGAAAGCGUAAUAGCUCACUGGUCGAGUCGGCCUGCGCGGAAGAUGUAACGGGGCUAAACCAUGCACCGAAGCUGCGGCAGCGACGCUUAUGCGUUGUUGGGUAGGGGAGCGUUCUGUAAGCCUGCGAAGGUGUGCUGUGAGGCAUGCUGGAGGUAUCAGAAGUGCGAAUGCUGACAUAAGUAACGAUAAAGCGGGUGAAAAGCCCGCUCGCCGGAAGACCAAGGGUUCCUGUCCAACGUUAAUCGGGGCAGGGUGAGUCGACCCCUAAGGCGAGGCCGAAAGGCGUAGUCGAUGGGAAACAGGUUAAUAUUCCUGUACUUGGUGUUACUGCGAAGGGGGGACGGAGAAGGCUAUGUUGGCCGGGCGACGGUUGUCCCGGUUUAAGCGUGUAGGCUGGUUUUCCAGGCAAAUCCGGAAAAUCAAGGCUGAGGCGUGAUGACGAGGCACUACGGUGCUGAAGCAACAAAUGCCCUGCUUCCAGGAAAAGCCUCUAAGCAUCAGGUAACAUCAAAUCGUACCCCAAACCGACACAGGUGGUCAGGUAGAGAAUACCAAGGCGCUUGAGAGAACUCGGGUGAAGGAACUAGGCAAAAUGGUGCCGUAACUUCGGGAGAAGGCACGCUGAUAUGUAGGUGAAGUCCCUCGCGGAUGGAGCUGAAAUCAGUCGAAGAUACCAGCUGGCUGCAACUGUUUAUUAAAAACACAGCACUGUGCAAACACGAAAGUGGACGUAUACGGUGUGACGCCUGCCCGGUGCCGGAAGGUUAAUUGAUGGGGUUAGCGCAAGCGAAGCUCUUGAUCGAAGCCCCGGUAAACGGCGGCCGUAACUAUAACGGUCCUAAGGUAGCGAAAUUCCUUGUCGGGUAAGUUCCGACCUGCACGAAUGGCGUAAUGAUGGCCAGGCUGUCUCCACCCGAGACUCAGUGAAAUUGAACUCGCUGUGAAGAUGCAGUGUACCCGCGGCAAGACGGAAAGACCCCGUGAACCUUUACUAUAGCUUGACACUGAACAUUGAGCCUUGAUGUGUAGGAUAGGUGGGAGGCUUUGAAGUGUGGACGCCAGUCUGCAUGGAGCCGACCUUGAAAUACCACCCUUUAAUGUUUGAUGUUCUAACGUUGACCCGUAAUCCGGGUUGCGGACAGUGUCUGGUGGGUAGUUUGACUGGGGCGGUCUCCUCCUAAAGAGUAACGGAGGAGCACGAAGGUUGGCUAAUCCUGGUCGGACAUCAGGAGGUUAGUGCAAUGGCAUAAGCCAGCUUGACUGCGAGCGUGACGGCGCGAGCAGGUGCGAAAGCAGGUCAUAGUGAUCCGGUGGUUCUGAAUGGAAGGGCCAUCGCUCAACGGAUAAAAGGUACUCCGGGGAUAACAGGCUGAUACCGCCCAAGAGUUCAUAUCGACGGCGGUGUUUGGCACCUCGAUGUCGGCUCAUCACAUCCUGGGGCUGAAGUAGGUCCCAAGGGUAUGGCUGUUCGCCAUUUAAAGUGGUACGCGAGCUGGGUUUAGAACGUCGUGAGACAGUUCGGUCCCUAUCUGCCGUGGGCGCUGGAGAACUGAGGGGGGCUGCUCCUAGUACGAGAGGACCGGAGUGGACGCAUCACUGGUGUUCGGGUUGUCAUGCCAAUGGCACUGCCCGGUAGCUAAAUGCGGAAGAGAUAAGUGCUGAAAGCAUCUAAGCACGAAACUUGCCCCGAGAUGAGUUCUCCCUGACUCCUUGAGAGUCCUGAAGGAACGUUGAAG